rnacentral:rRNA from 1 species
AGUGAACGCUGGCGGUAGGCCUAACACAUGCAAGUCGAACGGCAGCACAGGAGAGCUUGCUCUCUGGGUGGCGAGUGGCGGACGGGUGAGGAAUACAUCGGAAUCUACCCUGUCGUGGGGGAUAACGUAGGGAAACUUACGCUAAUACCGCAUACGACCUACGGGUGAAAGCGGGGGACCUUCGGGCCUUGCGCGAUUGAAUGAGCCGAUGUCGGAUUAGCUAGUUGGCGGGGUAAAGGCCCACCAAGGCGACGAUCCGUAGCUGGUCUGAGAGGAUGAUCAGCCACACUGGAACUGAGACACGGUCCAGACUCCUACGGGAGGCAGCAGUGGGGAAUAUUGGACAAUGGGCGCAAGUCUGAUCCAGCCAUACCGCGUGGGUGAAGAAGGCCUUCGGGUUGUAAAGCCCUUUUGUUGGGAAAGAAAUCCAGCCGGCUAAUACCUGGUUGGGAUGACGGUACCCAAAGAAUAAGCACCGGCUAACUUCGUGCCAGCCGCCGCGGUAA